rnacentral:rRNA from 1 species
GCCGCGUGUGUGAAGAAGGCCCUCGGGUUGUAAAGCACUUUCAGCGAGGAAGAACGCCUAGCGGUUAAUACCCGCUAGGAAAGACAUCACUCGCAGAAGAAGCACCGGCUAACUCCGUGCCAGCAGCCGCGGUAAUACGGAGGGUGCAAGCGUUAAUCGGAAUUACUGGGCGUAAAGCGCGCGUAGGUGGCUUGAUAAGCCGGUUGUGAAAGCCCCGGGCUCAACCUGGGAACGGCAUCCGGAACUGUCAAGCUAGAGUGCAGGAGAGGAAGGUAGAAUUCCCGGUGUAGCGGUGAAAUGCGUAGAGAUCGGGAGGAAUACCAGUGGCGAAGGCGGCCUUCUGGACUGACACUGACACUGAGGUGCGAAAGCGUGGGUAGCAAACAGGAUUAGAUACCCUGGUAGUCCACGCCGUAAACGAUGUCGACCAGCCGUUGGGUGCCUAGCGCACUUUGUGGCGAAGUUAACGCGAUAAGUCGACCGCCUGGGGAGUACGGCCGCAAGGUUAAAACUCAAAUGAAUUGACGGGGGCCCGCACAAGCGGUGGAGCAUGUGGUUUAAUUCGAUGCAACGCGAAGAACCUUACCUACUCUUGACAUCCUGCGAAUUCGGUAGAGAUACCUUAGUGCCUUCGGGAACGCA